ACGCUCGACACCUACGGGAGGCAGCAGUGGGGAAUAUUGCACAAUGGGGGAAACCCUGAUGCAGCAACGCCGCGUGAGGAAGAGGUUUCGNUGUAACUUACUGUUCUUAGUGGAAAGAUAGUGACGGUAGCUAAGGAGCAAGCCACGGCUAACUACGUGCUAGCAGCCGCGGUAAUCUGAGCGGGCUGGCAAGGC
rnacentral:rRNA from 1 species